rnacentral:rRNA from 1 species
AUGAAGCCCCGGGACCUGCUGGAGCGGAUCAGGCGGCCCUUCGCCUCCCGCCGCGGGUCGUCGGCGUCGGCGCGGCGGGAGGAGGAGGACCUGGAGGCCAUCGCGGCGCGGGAGCAGCGCGCGUUCCGGUACGAGGCGCUGGCGGCGGCCACGCGCAACUUCUCGGAGAAGCAGAAGCUCGGGCAGGGCGGGUUCGGCCCCGUCUACCUGGGCCAGCUCCCCGACGGCCGGGACGUGGCCGUCAAGCGGCUGGGCGCCGGGUCCAGGCAGGGCGCGCGGGAGUUCAAGAACGAGGCCAACCUGCUGUCCCGCGUCCAGCACCGCAACGUCGUCAACCUGCUCGGCUACUGCGCCCACGGCGCCGACGAGAAGCUGCUCGUCUACGAGUACGUCCCCAACGAGAGCCUCGACAAGAUCCUCUUCUCCGCCGCCGCCCCGCCGCCCACCGCCAGCAGCAAGACGCACUCCGGCAGCAGCAGCGACGGCCACAGGCCAUUGCGGGCGGAGCUGACGUGGCCGCGGCGGCUGGAGGUGGUGGUGGGCGUGGCGCGGGGGCUGCUGUACCUGCACGAGGACGCGCACACGCCCAUCAUCCACCGCGAUAUCAAGGCCAGCAACAUCCUCCUCGACGAACGCUGGGUCGCCAAGAUCGCCGACUUCGGCAUGGCCCGCCUCUUCCCGGAGGCCGGCGACGGCCGCUCCCACGUCCAGACCCGCGUCGCCGGCACCAACGGCUACAUGGCGCCCGAGUACCUCAUGCACGGCCACCUCUCCGCCAAGGCCGACGUCUUCAGCUUCGGCGUCCUCGUCCUCGAGAUCCUCUCCGGCCGCAAGAACUCCUCCUUCAUCCCGCCGCCUCGAUCCAGCGCCGACAACCUCCUCGAUUACGCCUGGAAGCUGUACAAGGAGGAGCGCAGCAUGGAGCUGCUGGACCCGUCGGUGAAGUCGUCGGCCGCGCCGGACCAGGUGCUCAUGUGCGUCCGCAUCGGGCUGCUGUGCGUGCAGGCGGACCCGCGGCUGCGGCCGGACAUGAAGCGCGUGGUGAUCAUCCUCUCCAAGAAGCAGAGCACGCUAGAGGAGCCGACGCGGCCCGGGGCGCCCGGGUCGCGGUACCGGAGGAGGGCGCACGGCCUGCGCAGCUCGUCGCAGUACUCCGACGGGUCGUCGUCGGGCACGACCCCGUCGACGUCGCAUGCGUCCGCGUCCGCGUCGGCAUCGGCAUCGGCGUCGAACGCGAUGACGACGUCGAGCACGCGCACCUUGCGGAGCCGGGGGCUCCCGUCGCAACGGGAAGAGCAGGAGUUGCCCAACGACAGCUGA